rnacentral:rRNA from 1 species
AGUGGCGGACGGGUGAGUAACGCGUGAGGAACCUGCCUCGGAGUGGGGAAUAACAGACCGAAAGGCCUGCUAAUACCGCAUGAUGCAGUUGGACCGCAUGGUCCUGACUGCCAAAGAUUUAUCGCUCUGAGAUGGCCUCGCGUCUGAUUAGCUUGUUGGCGGGGUAAUGGCCCACCAAGGCGACGAUCGGUAGCCGGACUAAGAGGUUGAACGGCCACAUUGGGACUGAGACACGGCCCAGACUCCUACGGGAGGCAGCAGUGGGGAAUAUUGCACAAUGGGGGAAACCCUGAUGCAGCGACGCCGCGUGGAGGAAGAAGGUCUUCGGAUUGUAAACUCCUGUUGUUGAGGAAGAUAAUGACGGUACUCAACAAGGAAGUGACGGCUAACUACGUGCCAGCAGCCGCGGUAAAACGUAGGUCACAAGCGUUGUCCGGAAUUACUGGGUGUAAAGGGAGCGCAGGCGGGAAGACAAGUUGGAAGUGAAAUCCAUGGGCUCAACCCAUGAACUGCUUUCAAAACUGUUUUUCUUGAGUAGUGCAGAGGUAGACGGAAUUCCCGGUGUAGCGGUGGAAUGCGUAGAUAUCGGGAGGAACACCAGUGGCGAAGGCGGCCUACUGGGCACCAACUGACGCUGAGGCUCGAAAGUGUGGGUAGCAAACAGGAUUAGAUACCCUGGUAGUCCACACUGUAAACGAUGAUUACUAGGUGUUGGAGGAUUGACCCCUUCAGUGCCGCAGUUAACACAAUAAGUAAUCCACCUGGGGAGUACGACCGCAAGGUUGAAACUCAAAGGAAUUGACGGGGGCCCGCACAAGCAGUGGAGUAUGUGGUUUAAUUCGACGCAACGCGAAGAACCUUACCAAGUCUUGACAUCCUGCGACGGACAUAGAAAUAUGUUUUUCCUUCGGGACGCAGAGACAGGUGGUGCAUGGUUGUCGUCAGCUCGUGUCGUGAGAUGUUGGGUUAAGUCCCGCAACGAGCGCAACCCUUAUGGUCAGUUACUACGCAAGAGGACUCUGGCCAGACUGCCGUUGACAAAACGGAGGAAGGUGGGGAUGACGUCAAAUCAUCAUGCCCUUUAUGACUUGGGCUACACACGUACUACAAUGGCGUUAAACAAAGAGAAGCAAGACCGCGAGGUGGAGCAAAACUCAGAAACAACGUCCCAGUUCGGACUGCAGGCUGCAACUCGCCUGCACGAAGUCGGAAUUGCUAGUAAUCGCAGAUCAGCAUGCUGCGGUGAAUACGUUCCCGGGCCUUGCACACACCGCCCGUCA